GCGCAGGUGGCAGAGCGGUCAAUUGCAUGUGACUGUAAAUCACACGCCUCAUGGCUACGGGGGUUCGAAUCCCUCCCUGCGCA
rnacentral:tRNA from 2 species